AGUGAGCGCUGGCGGUAGGCCUAACACAUGCAAGUCGAACGGCAGCACAGUAAGAGCUUGCUCUUACGGGUGGCGAGUGGCGGACGGGUGAGGAAUACAUCGGAAUCUACUUUUUCGUGGGGGAUAACGUAGGGAAACUUACGCUAAUACCGCAUACGACCUACGGGUGAAAGCAGGGGAUCUUCGGACCUUGCGCGAUUGAAUGAGCCGAUGUCGGAUUAGCUAGUUGGCGGGGUAAAGGCCCACCAAGGCGACGAUCCGUAGCUGGUCUGAGAGGAUGAUCAGCAAAACUGGAACUGAGACACGGUACAGACGCCUACGGGAGGAAGCAGUGGGGAAUAUUGGACAAUGGGCGAAAGCAUGAUCCAGCAAUACCGCGUGGGUGAAGAAGGACUUCGGGUUGUAAAGCCCUUUUGUUGGGAAAGAAAAGCAGCAGGUUAAUACCCCGAUGUUCUGACGGUACCAAAAGAAUAAGCACCGGCUAACUUCGUG
rnacentral:rRNA from 1 species